rnacentral:rRNA from 1 species
GACGAACGCUGGCGGCGCGCCUAACACAUGCAAGUCGAACGGAAUAUUUUUCUACUUCAAGUUUUUUGCUUGUUUGAGGAAAGCGUAAAUCAGUGCGCAGCACUGAUUUAGGCCUUUUAGUAAGCUAACACAUGCAGAAAAGAACGAGCGGAAGAUUUGAAGUAGAAAAAUAUUUAGUGGCGAACGGGUGAGUAACGCGUGAGGAACCUGCCUCAAAGAGGGGGACAACAGUUGGAAACGACUGCUAAUACCGCAUAAGCCCACGGGGCCGCAUGGCUCUGAGGGAAAAGGAGCAAUCCGCUUUGAGAUGGCCUCGCGUCCGAUUAGCUGGUUGGUGAGGUAACGGCCCACCAAGGCGACGAUCGGUAGCCGGACUGAGAGGUUGAACGGCCACAUUGGGACUGAGACACGGCCCAGACUCCUACGGGAGGCAGCAGUGGGGAAUAUUGCACAAUGGGGGAAACCCUGAUGCAGCGACGCCGCGUGAGCGAAGAAGUAUUUCGGUAUGUAAAGCUCUAUCAGCAGGGAAGAUAAUGACGGUACCUGACUAAGAAGCCCCGGCUAACUACGUGCCAGCAGCCGCGGUAAAACGUAGGGGGCAAGCGUUAUCCGGAUUUACUGGGUGUAAAGGGAGCGUAGACGGCGAAGCAAGUCUGGUGUGAAAACCCGGGGCUCAACCCCGGGCCUGCAUUGGAAACUGUUUUGCUUGAGUGCCGGAGAGGUAAGCGGAAUUCCUAGUGUAGCGGUGAAAUGCGUAGAUAUUAGGAGGAACACCAGUGGCGAAGGCGGCUUACUGGACGGCAACUGACGUUGAGGCUCGAAAGCGUGGGGAGCAAACAGGAUUAGAUACCCUGGUAGUCCACACCGUAAACGAUGAUUACUAGGUGUUGGAGGAUAGACCCCUUCAGUGCCGCAGUUAACACAAUAAGUAAUCCACCUGGGGAGUACGACCGCAAGGUUGAAACUCAAAGGAAUUGACGGGGGCCCGCACAAGCAGUGGAGUAUGUGGUUUAAUUCGAAGCAACGCGAAGAACCUUACCAGGUCUUGACAUCCCGGUGACCGGCGCGUAAUGGUGCCUUUCCUUCGGGACACUGGAGACAGGUGGUGCAUGGUUGUCGUCAGCUCGUGUCGUGAGAUGUUGGGUUAAGUCCCGCAACGAGCGCAACCCUUAUCCUUAGUAGCCAGCAGGUGAAGCUGGGCACUCUGGGGAGACUGCCAGGGAUAACCUGGAGGAAGGUGGGGAUGACGUCAAAUCAUCACGCCCCUUAUGAUCUGGGCUACACACGUGCUACAAUGGCGUAAACAAAGGGAAGCGAACCUGCGAGGGGGAGCGAACCCCAAAAAUAACGUCUCAGUUCGGACUGCAGUCUGCAACUCGACUGCACGAAGCUGGAAUCGCUAGUAAUCGCGAAUCAGCAUGUCGCGGUGAAUACGUUCCCGGGUCUUGUACACACCGCCCGUCACACCAUGGGAGUUGGUAACGCCCGAAGUCAGUGACCCAACCGAAAGGAGGGAGCUGCCGAAGGCGGGACUGAUAACUGGGGUGA